rnacentral:lncRNA from 1 species
AUGGGACACGUCGAUCCUGCUGGCGACGAUGGGAACACCUGGACCAUAAACCCAGCCUGGCAAGAGCAUCCCUGGAAGGACCUGGUGAGCACAAAGAAACCCCUUUUCCCCAUCUCUUCAGACUUCAGGGGUCCACGGAGCCUCAGAAGGAAGAGCUCUGUCCUUGCAGUCACUCGUCUCUGGAUGUGUCACCACGUGCUCCAGCCCCCCAGGUACCAGGGACACCCCUCCACAGCAAAUGGGUGGCAAAGCGCCCCACAACAUGUGUUUGUGAGGCUGACAGGUGGAAUAAUCAUUAUUAUUACUAUUCUUAUUUAUUAACCCUGAGCAUAGAACCAAUAAGAUUAAAAAUUAGUGGUCUCAAGGCAAAGCUGCAGCGUAUUCAAUAUAUUAUCCGUAAGUGAUGUGCGCAGGAGGGCAGAGUGGGAAGCAAAGGGGAUCUCACGAGAGCCACAAAAACUGGACUUUUAAUUUAAAACUAUCCUUCACUGCCUUGAGUGUCUCUCCUGCGAGUCCAUUUUUUAUUUCCCCCUGUGCAGCAGUAAUCAGGAGGUAACAAGGGAGAAGGGGAAACGGAUUGUCUGGCAGCUCUGUCUGGCCAAUUUCAGCGGUGUAAAUUAUAGAUACAUAUGGUACAAAGGAGUGCUGGGAUAUUAAUUUCUGUUGUUGAAAAUCGCAGACCCUCUGCUUUAAUUUACUGCUAAAUAAUAAAUGACUUCGUAAGAUACUCA